rnacentral:rRNA from 1 species
UACGUAGGCAGCAAGCGUUGUUCGGAGUUACUGGGCGUAAAGGGUGCGUAGGCGGCUUCUUAAGUCUGGUGUGAAAUCUCCCCGGCUCAACUGGGGAGGGUGCGCCGGAUACUGAGGGGGCUAGAGUGUGGGAGAGGAAAGUGGAAUUCCUGGUGUAGCGGUGAAAUGCGUAGAUAUCAGGAGGAACACCGGUGGUGUAAACGGCUUUCUGGACCAUAACUGACGCUGAGGCACGAAAGCGUGGGGAGCAAACAGG